CUGAAAUCAGGUGGGACUACCCGCUGAACUUAAGCAUAUCAAUAAGCGGAGGAAAAGAAAAUAACAAUGAUUCCCCCAGUAACGGCGAGUGAACAGGGAAAAGCUCAAAGUUGGAACCUCCUGGGCCUAGCCUAGGCGGAUUGUAAACUAAAGUCUUCGAGUAGUUCGGCUAGCCUGGUAAUCAAGUCCUCUGGAAAGGGGCGACAUAGAGGGU
rnacentral:rRNA from 1 species